GGCUAACUGGGAUUGCCCACCCUGCCCAAAAAAGCCAGUUGCUGAGUUCUGGUGGGGUUGAGGAACAAGGUUGGGUCUCUUUCAGUGGGAGUUGGGCAUGUGAUAGGAUGUCCGAGUUCUGUCCUGAAAAUACCUAAGCCUGAUCCACUGCAUAUGUCCUAGAAUCAUCAACUUCCAGGGUCCAUGUCUGGCUGUAAGGAAUUUUGAUAAUGAGAAACAGAUGCUUCAAGGUUAAAACUGGAAACAGUCUAAGAAGCACAAAAUGCAGUGUGUGACUCUGAUUGAAACUCAUCUUCAAAUGACCAACUUAUAAAAAAAGAAAUAAAGGUGAAAUUCUCCAUUUGAAAACAUGACAGAACAAUUACCUGUUUAUUCACAUAGUUCAAAUGAAAUGGAAGACACUGCAAGCCUGUGUGAACUAUCUUAAUUCAAAAUCUUCUGAACAUUUUUUUUAAAUGAUCGUCUUAUUACAGAUCUGCAAAGCUGCUAUCAAAAUUCUCCUCCAAAAGUCUUAAUAGAGUUCACGUAAAAGCCCCAAAUCAA